rnacentral:rRNA from 1 species
AGAGUUUGAUCCUGGCUCAGGACGAACGCUGGCGGCGUGCCUAACACAUGCAAGUCGAGCGAUGAAGUUCCUUCGGGAACGGAUUAGCGGCGGACGGGUGAGUAACACGUGGGUAACCUGCCUUAUAGAGGGGAAUAGCCUUCCGAAAGGAAGAUUAAUACCGCAUAAAGUUGUUGAUUCGCAUGAAUCGAUAACCAAAGGAGCAAUCCGCUAUAAGAUGGACCCGCGGCGCAUUAGCUAGUUGGUGAGGUAAUGGCUCACCAAGGCGACGAUGCGUAGCCGACCUGAGAGGGUGAUCGGCCACAUUGGGACUGAGACACGGCCCAGACUCCUACGGGAGGCAGCAGUGGGGAAUAUUGCACAAUGGGGGAAACCCUGAUGCAGCAAUGCCGCGUGAGUGAUGAAGGCCUUCGGGUUGUAAAGCUCUGUCUUUGGGGACGAUAAUGACGGUACCCAAGGAGGAAGCCACGGCUAACUACGUG